rnacentral:rRNA from 1 species
UACAGAGGGGGCAAGCGUUGUUCGGAAUUACUGGGCGUAAAGGGCGCGUAGGCGGCCUGCUAAGUCGAACGUGAAAUCCCUGGGCUCAACCCAGGAACUGCGUCCGAUACUGGCAGGCUUGAAUCCGGGAGAGGGAUGCGGAAUUCCAGGUGUAGCGGUGAAAUGCGUAGAUAUCCGGAGGAACACCAGAGGCGAAGGCGGCCUACUGGGCUGCACCUGACGCUGAGCCGCGAAAGCCAGGGGAGCGAACGGG